AAUGAACGCUGGCGGCGUGCUUUACACAUGCAAGUCGAGCGAGGCGGGGAGCAAUCCCCAGCCUACGCGGCGAACGGGUGAGUAACGCGUGGAUGACCUGCCCUACAGCGGGGAAGUAACCCGGGGAAACGUCGGGCUAAUACCGCAUACGACCGAGAGGUGAAAGGGGGCGUCGCAAGGGCGUCUCGCUGGAGGGAGGGGUCCGCGUUCGAUUAGCUAGUUGGUAGGGUAAUGGCCUACCAAGGCGACGAUCGAUAGCCGGCCUGAGAGGGUGAUCGGCCGACACUGGAACUGAGAC
rnacentral:rRNA from 1 species